rnacentral:piRNA from 1 species
UUCCAGUAAGCAGUUGGAUGCCAUGAU